GCCUUCUUUUCCUUUAGGGGUUCUAAUCCAUAUUGAUCUAUACUAAGCUACUAGUAUCCUAAACACUAAACCAAAGCCAACUAUAAUCUUUAUACCUUACCCUUAAAUUAAUAUAACCUAUUCACAACCCCAAAUAAAUAAAGGGAGUAGAAGUAUAACACUGUUCAGUAAUCAGUAUUUGAUUUAACUGAAACAAAUCUAGGUGACAAACCAAAACCAAGGG
rnacentral:lncRNA from 1 species